UACGUAGGGGGCUAGCGUUGUCCGGAAUCAUUGGGCGUAAAGAGCGUGUAGGCGGCCCGGUAAGUCCGCUGUGAAAGUCGGGGGCUCAACCCUCGAAUGCCGGUGGAUACUGUCGGGCUAGAGUGCGGAAGAGGCGAGUGGAAUUCCUGGUGUAGCGGUGAAACGCGCAGAUAUCAGGAGGAACACCGAUUGCGAAGGCAGCUCGCUGGGACGUAACUGACGCUGAGACGCGAAAGCGUGGGGAGCAAACAGG
rnacentral:rRNA from 1 species